UACGAAGGGGGCUAGCGUUGUUCGGAAUUACUGGGCGUAAAGCGUAUGCAGGCGGUUCGUUAAGUCGGGGGUGAAAUCCCGAGGCUCAACCUCGGAACUGCCUUCGAUACUGGAGAGCUCGAGUCCGGGAGAGGUGAGUGGAACUGCGAGUGUAGAGGUGAAAUUCGUAGAUAUUCGCAAGAACACCAGUGGCGAAGGCGGCUCACUGGCCCGGUACUGACGCUGAGGUGCGAAAGCGUGGGGAGCAAACAGG
rnacentral:rRNA from 1 species